GACGAACGCUGGCGGCGUGCCUAAUACAUGCAAGUAGAACGCACAGUUUAUACCGUAGCUUGCUACACCAUAGACUGUGAGUUGCGAACGGGUGAUUAACGCGUAGGUAACCUGCCUGGUAGCGGGGGAUAACUAUUGGAAACGAUAGCUAAUACCGCAUAAUAUUAAUUAUUGCAUGAUAAUUAAUUGAAAGUUGCAAUUUCACCACUACCAUAUGGACCUGCGUUGUAUUAGCUAGUAGGUGAGGUAACGGCUCACCUAGGCGACGAUACAUAACCGACCUGAGAGGGUGAUCGGCCAAAAUGGGACUGAGACACGGCCCAGAAUCCUAAGGGAGGCAGCAGUAGGGAAUCUUCGGCAAUAGACGAAAGUCUGACCGAGCAAAGCCGCGGGAGUGAAGAAGGUUUUCGGAUCGUAAAGCUCUGUUGUAAGAGAAGAACGGGUGUGAGAGUGGAAAGUUCACACUGUGACGGUAUCUAACCAGAAAGGGACGGCUAACUACGUG
rnacentral:rRNA from 1 species